rnacentral:lncRNA from 1 species
GUUUACCUUCUCAAUUUUUUCUUUUUUAAUUAUUCUUGCUUUAGGGUGUGUAGAACUCUGAUAAUUCAGUAUUUCUGAUGACUUUUCACCGGUUUUGAUACUUCCCAAUGUAAACAGGUUGCCUGAUGUGCCUUGAGCUUUCCUACAAAGAAAGUUUGUAGGAUUCUUGAAGAUUAGUCUCUCAUAGUUCUUUAUACCUGUGUCUGAGCUAGUCACAUGGGCGUCUAUAUAACCCACUGAAAGAAGUAGACCUAGGUCAAGAUGUAUCUGACCUACUUUAGGCACCUAAUUUAAGAUGAAAGGAAUCUCACCCUAAAUGUAUUAGAAUCAUGGAAGCCCAAGGUGGCUUACAUUGGUGUGAACUACAGCAUCUAAUCAGAAUAAUACUCUGGUUUCUGACAAGCAGGUUAGCCCCUAAUGUAUUUUAGUAAUUUGUGUAACUCCCUAUGAGGGCCUGGCCUAUGGCAUAAAUAAUGAGAACAGAUUAGAAUAUAAUGGUCCUAUUUCUUAGAUUUUCAUAUUUGUUAGCAAACGAUAAAGGCAAAAGCUAAGUAGAGUGUUUGCAUAUACUUAAUUGUACAAAGUGGAUUUAUUUUUUGUAUACUUCUGAAGGAGCAGAUAUUGAGAAUCAAUUCUCUACUUAAUUUUGCAAAACUCAUGGAUUCUUCAAGUUGUUCUAAGACUUUAAGGCAGAACUUUAUUGUUGGCAGAGCAGUAGUUUCUCAGAUGAGGUGCUCUUUUCAGCUACUUAAAGCUGUUAGAUGUCAGACAGGGCACUGGGGCUUCUUAGAUUCUGCUAAGGAACAGGAAGAUAGGUAGUGUAAAACUCUUUUGUUGACGGCUUCAGAAGAAUACUGUUUCCUGCUAUUUGACCAACUAGUUAAUAUUCAGGUAAUAUUGUUGAACUACAGCAGGUAAAGAAUUUUCAAGGGUGAUCAGUGCUACACAGACCUUGAAAAGAAGUGUAAAAUUGUUUAGAAUGCUUCUAGAACAACUUUAAAGGCAAGGAUCAACUUGGAGUUUUAGUGAUUUGAUGUUCUCGGUCUGUCUCUAUCUAAGAAGGCUAACAAUGCCUAUAAAGUCUUUCUGAAUGACAGUGUUAUUUGUAGCAUAGUCCUCGGAAAUGCUUCACAGUUCUCUACAAGCCUUGUAAGCAGUAUUUCAGGAAAAAUACUCAGAGCUUAAAAAAAAAAAAUCAGUAAGUAGAUCCUCCAGAAAAUAUGCAGGAGGUCAAUGUCAGUGAUAAUUGUGAGAGUUGAUGAGUCUAUGCAUACUAAACAUCUAUUCCAGCAUACUAACAUCUAUUCCAGCACUCACCUCAAACUGAAUUCUUCCCCCAGAAUGACUGGCCCUUAACCAAAGGAAUAUUAGCUGUGCUAGGACAGAGGCAGUGGAGGCUGAAGAAAUGCUUUCUGCUGGAGAAAGAGGAAGCACAUUGAUUUGCCAGCAGACAGCAUCUGUUCAGAGCUGCACAGAUGCACAAAUUGUUGGAAGAGGUGAGAUGGAUCAGCUGAGGUAGUACUGAUGGGAGUCUGAAGUCUUCAUGUGAACCAGUGCACUAUGUGGUCCAGGGUGGGGCAGACAGUUGCUUUCUGUGGUACAUGCAUCCAAAAUGAAUGUUAUUGUUGUGAAAUAUAAAAGGAACAAAGCCUCAUGGAAUUUGUAAAGAGGCUUGUGUUACCAUAGAAUCACUAAGGUUGGAAAAGACCCACAGGAUCAUCCAGUCCAACCAUUCACCCAUCACCAAUGGUUCUCACUAAACCAUGUCCCUUAGCACAACAUUCAAACACUCUUUGAACACCACCAGGGUCGGUGACUCCAACACCUCUCUGGGCAGCCCAUUCCAGUGCCUGACCACCCUUUCAGAGAAGUAGUAUUUCCUAACGUCCAGCCUGAAUCUUCCCUGGUGCAGCUUGAAGCCAUUCCCUCUAGUUCUAUCACUAGUCACUGAGAGAAGAGGCUGACCCCCAGCUCACUACAACCUCCCUUCAGGUAGUUAUAGAGAGCAAUAAGGUCUCCCCUGAGCCUCCUCUUCUCUAGACUGAACAAUCCCAGCUUCUUCAGCUGCUCCUCAUGUUAUGUAUUAUGUUUUUCUCAUUUCAUCUGAUGUAAGAAGUCUUGCUUAUGGGCUUUUCUGCCAAGGCAGAAAAUAAAAUGCAUAGCUUUAGUGUGUUAACAGUUUUGUAUAUACUGAUUUUUCUACUCUUGUGGCAGAGUCGCAUUUUCUGAAAAUAAUGAUAAUAUUCAUCUGGUUUGUAUCUGCUGAUAUAAUGACUGUGUUGGAGUGCAUCAACUUAACAGUUUAUGAUUGGGCAGAACCAAUUUUAUUACCAAGUCACACUCUGCUGUUUGACUUGGUGUGCAUGGAUCUCACAGUGCAAUUGUGCUUUUUCAGGGCAGAGCUAAUGGAUGUUGUCCAGACUCCAUGUUCCCAUUGAGAAACAGCUUCCAGUGCCUUUUGAUAUAGAAUUUCUGUUCUUUAUCCUUGCAGUUGCUGCUUUGAUUAUAGAACUGAGGAAUUAUUUUAGGGCUUCACGGCCUGUGUAGUAUUAUGUUUCUGCUCAAUUUGUAGAACUUGUGUAGGAUCUACUUAUAAAUCAACAAUGCUUUGUUGUCUGAUACUGCCAUUCCCAAUUCAUAUCAUUCAAUUUUCUUUUUACUAUUAUUUCUUUAGAAGUUUACCUGAUGUCUUUCAUAAGCAAGUCAUGAAUUAAUUUGGCUGUAUCUUCUGUCAUAGCAUGAAAGCUUUAUGUGUUGCUGGAGAGUGAUUAUCCUGUUUCAUUUUGACUCUUCAUGUUCUUGACUUGUGGGGUUCUGCAUUGCUAUCAUUUUCUUUUACCAUGGGAGUAGUAUCUGUUAUAAGUAUUGAAGUUGUUGGAGUUUCACAGGGUAAUAAUGUUGAUGCUAUCAAUCUCUUCUCUUCUCAACAUCAUCCACUGUUGCAGUGUAAGAAUAAUGAUUUGGCUAUAGAAAACUACCUUUGGGGUUUGUCUCGAUUCCUUUUCUAGAUCUAGAAUACUGUAUUUGGAACAUGCUGGCUUUCAAAGCACUUAAUCUUUGGAAGAAAGGGGCAUUUGGUAGUUCAGCUUGUGGGUUGGGUUCUAGAACUGGGUAUAAGAGUAAUCCUACUCAUCUUAAAUUCAGCUUAUGAUUACUGGCUUGUGCAGUGCUGAAACAUUUCACUGCAAAGGUGAAAAACCUUCCUUGUUUUCUGUAGCUCAAGCCUUAUUAGUAACACCUUACCUUGCAGUAAGCUAAAAGGGGCUUCCCUCCCACCUAAUAAUAAUUUCAGCUUCUUCCCAUAUUGAAAUUAGAAUAAAUCCUUCUAAUUAAUGUAAAAUUAAUUAACAGAAAAUCAGAUGGUUUCUAUCUGAAAAAGGAACUUGAAUACUCUCAAAUUUGAACCAAACAUUCACCUAGGUACUACAGCAUUUCUUCAUUUGCAACUUGUAGCAUUUUUCAAAUUUAAAAUCUUUUCCCACAUUGUGUGGAGGCUUGUGUGUAGUAAGCAUUAGUUCAGAAUUGUGUAUACAUUCCAGGCACUGGAAUGGCCUGCCCAGGGAGAUGGUGGAGUCACCGUACCUGGCAGAGUUCAAGAGGCGUCUGAAUGAGGAGCUACAAGAUACAGUUUAGUGGCUUGUGGUAGCAAGGGUAAUGGGAGGACGGUUGGACUAGAUGAUCUUGUAGGUCCUUUCCAACCUUGGGAUUCUAUGAUUCUAUAAUAUGCGGAAACACAAGAUGUCUAUUCAGACUGAUUAAAGCUAUAGUUGCCUAGAGCUUUUUUUUGAAGACAUCCUGAUUCUGAUCAUGUCAGCUGUUUUCUUUGAUCCUUUAACAGUUUUCCCCAAAUUACAGGUUCGGUUUCUUUAGUGAACAGAUUUUCCUCAGUUCUUGGAUUUCUGGAGAAAUACUGACCCUUGUCAGGCAAUAUUUGGGUCAAUAGAAGGAGCAAGGUGAAAACUAAAUGCAGCUAGAGAAGAGAAAGGAGGCUAAUUCACUCAAGUUGUGUUCCUUUUGGAGGAAAAAAAAAGUAAUAAAGGUAUUAAUCUCUUACUGGAAGAGAUGAGGAGAAGGAACAAUGAUUAAGUGUAAGAUGUUUUGACUCUCACAGUGUAUAAAUUAUGAGUUUAAGGAGAAAAUAUUUAGAAAACCUACUUAGAAUGAACUCUUUUCAGAUACUUUACAGUGAAGCAACAUGGAUGAUUCUAGUUCAGCUUGAAGAUACAUUUCAAAACCUUUAAAGUUCUCAUUUUGUGCUUGAACAAAAACACCCACAGAGCACAAUCAAUUAAUGUUGAAAAGAUCUAUAUUAGUCUUCAUGGAAUUAGAAGUAGUAAAAUGUACAUCAGCUGAGCACAGUAUGAGUGCUUUGUUUAUAAAGCUUAUUUAGAUAAUCAGUAGUAAGAAAAAUCAAAAUGUAAUAUAUAACCAAAGUUUGUUUUAUUUUGAUUAUAGGAUGAAACUACUAGAUGUUCCACUUCAUGUUGCUGGACCAAAACAUGAAAAAAGUAUUUGUAACUUAAGAAAUGAUUGGAUAAACUUGAAUGGAUUAAAUGAAACUCGACAAUUCAUAGGAAUAAUUAUUUCCUUGAGAUGGAUUUUAAGUUUGAUAUUACAGGACCCAUUUAUGAAAACUUCCUAGCGAAAAUAUUCCUUCCAUGUGAAAAUAUAUAUUGCUCAUUGUAGUCUAGAUAACCCUAAGUUUGGAAAUAUGAAAUCGAAGUUUAUUGGAAUAAAAAAGGAGUGAUUUUUUUUUUUCUAUAAUGUGAAUACUUAUAGGGAUGAAAGACAUAACUGCAAUUUAUCAGGUGCUUCAGUAGUGAAGGAUCACAUUAAUCUUGCAAGAAUCACCCAUGCGAUUCACUCAACUCCAGUCUUCUUUCUGUGCCACAAGCAAUGUUUUCCUGUGAGAUCCCAACAGGUUUGAUAUCAGAAGGCCACUGACCUAGGAUGGCCAUAAAUGGGUUGUACUGGGAGGGCGAAGAGUGGAG